CAGUAGCCGCGGGAAUACGAGGGGGGCAAGCGUUGUUCGGAAUUAUUGGGCGUAAAGGGUGCGUAGGCGGCUUGACAAGUCUUGUGUGAAAUCUACGGGCUCAACCCAUAGUCUGCACGGGAAACUGUCGGGCUUGAGAAUGGGAGAGGUGAGUGGAAUUUCCGGUGUAGCGGUGAAAUGCGUAGAUAUCGGAAGGGACACCUGUGGCGAAAGCGGCUCACUGGACCAUUACUGACGCUGAGGCGCGAAAGCUAGGGGAGCAAACAGGAUUAGAUACCCCCGUAGUCCCUGUCUCUUAUAC
rnacentral:rRNA from 1 species